GGUUGGAUGGUGUAACGGUAGCACAUGAGAUUCUGAUUCUCGUAACCUGGGUUCGACUCCCAGUCCGACCU